rnacentral:rRNA from 1 species
AUUGAACGCUGGCGGCAGGCCUAACACAUGCAAGUCGAGCGGAUGAAAGGGGCUUGCUCCUGGAUUCAGCGGCGGACGGGUGAGUAAUGCGCAGGAAUCUACCUAGUAGUGGGGGAUAACGUUUCGAAAGGAACGCUAAUACCGCAUACGUUCUGAGGAAGAAAGCAGGGGAUCGUAAGACCUUGCGCUAUUAGAUGAGCUUGCGUCCGAUUAGCUAGUUGGUAGGGUAAAGGCCUACCAAGGCGACGAUCUGUAGCUGGUCUGAGAGGAUGGCCAGCCACACUGGAACUGAGACACGGUCCAGACUCCUACGGGAGGCAGCAGUGGGGAAUAUUGGACAAUGGGGGCAACCCUGAUCCAGCCAUGCCGCGUGUGUGAAGAAGGCCUCGGUUGUAAGAGACUUAAGUACGAGGAGGAAGG